GGGGAAGGGCUGCUCGCAUUGGACGGUUUCCCUCUGCGAAUCAACAAGGAGCCAGGAGCAUCGGAUGCCAUGAGUGCCACCAAGCACCGGCGACCUACAACAUGUGCCCUUCGUCCCAAGAUCGCCAACGACAAAUGUAUUCAACUCGUCCAUUGCAAGAUCCAAGCUCGAAAUAGAGAGAAGCAAACGAAUCGCAUCGUUGGUGUCGUCCUCGUCUUUGAUUCGACCGAGAGCCCCAGAUUGAAGUCUUGUCAGGUGAUAGAAUCCUGCUCCUUCCCCUAGCUUAUCAGUUGGAUUAUUUUAUUUCCCCAAAUUUUUUGGUUCGAUGAACCCUAAUUUCAUUGGAUCCAAGUAUAUCAACCCGAUUUAGUUAACUUAUUCCCAUGUUUGGUGCACUGUCAGAAAAUUACAUGUGGUUGUUAGCACAACGACUUUGCUGUUGAGGUUCUAAGUUUGAUGUAUGGAGUAAAGUUAUCAUAGAUUUGAUUUAGGGUCUGAUGGCCUUCUACUAUUUGUAUGUCGAUCUGUUACUUUUAGCUAAUGAAUUCAAAAGAUGUUGCAAGAACCAAAACCGAAAACCAAUUACCUGAAAACCUAUCAGUUGGUACAAUAUAGAAUGCAAACUACCCUGAUUGGUUUCUAUAUAUUUUGUAGAAGACAUAUUACUUUUCAUGGGUUUAAGGUUUAGUUGGCACAUGAUAUACUCUACCCGUCCCAAAUUAGUAUUCGUUUUAGCUCUUGGUUUUUAUGUCUAUAUUUAAAUGGAUGGUGAUGAAUCUAGACACAUAUACAAAACAUAUACAUCAAAUAUUAUAUGAAUCCAUUAAAAAUCUAAAACAAAUUUUAAUUUGGGACAGAGGGAGUAGUAUUCAUGGUAAACCAAGUUGAAGUCAUACAUAUACCCCUCAUAGCUACUAUAUACCUUACAUACCAUUUGUUCAAGAAUUUUUUCAUCCAAACCAAUCUCCCCUUAGUAUCUUAUUGCUCUUGAUAUCACAUUUUUUAUCAUGUAUCCAACUAUACAAACUUACUAUGUAUAAGAAGCCUUUUACAAUUUUACUAGCCUCUAAAUUUCAAUGGUGCCUCCUCGUUUAAGUUAUUUGUCAUCCUUCAAUGCAUUGUUAAAUACUAAUUCUUCCACAAUUGCAGUUUCUUCAAUUCCAAUCCAUGAAGUGGCUUAGGCUAAUGCUAAUACAUUGGGAAAUACAAAAAUCUAUUGCAGACACAUUAAUCUUCGUUUCCUUAUGUUACAUGUAAUAGGCAGGUGCUUGGUGUCCCAUGGAGAGAAUAGAGUUGAUGUGUUUCAUUUAGAUUACUUCAUGUGUCGGGCUUUAAUAUUAUAUGUCUCAAAGAAGGAAGGAGUAAUAGGAGGAAAAUCGAAAUAACAUGUAAACCUAGGAAAAAUGAGCCUUGGUGGGUUAUUCAGUGAUUCUUGUUGUAGUAUAAUGUUUUUUCGAAUAAGGUGGCUUGCCAUUAU
rnacentral:lncRNA from 7 species